UCGACGAGUUUGAUCAUGGCUCAGAACGAACGCUGGCGGCAGGCCUAACACAUGCAAGUCGAGCGGACCUUCGGGUUAGCGGCGGACGGGUUAGUAACGCGUGGGAAUAUGCCCAAAGGUACGGAAUAGCCUCGGGAAACUGAGAGUAAUACCGUAUGUGCCCUUCGGGGGAAAGAUUUAUCGCCUUUGGAUUAGCCCGCGUUGGAUUAGGUAGUUGGUGGGGUAAUGGCCUACCAAGCCGACGAUCCAUAGCUGGUUUGAGAGGAUGAUCAGCAACACUGGGACUGAGACACGGCCCAGACUCCUACGGGAGGCAGCAGUGGGAAUCUUAGACAAUGGGGGAAACCCUGAUCUAGCCAUGCCGCGUGAGCGAUGAAGGCCUUAGGGUUGUAAAGCUCUUUCAGCUGGGAAGAUAAUGACGGUACCAGCAGAAGAAGCCCCGGCUAACUCCGUG
rnacentral:rRNA from 1 species